rnacentral:rRNA from 1 species
CUCAGGACGAACGCUGGCGGCGUGCCUAAUACAUGCAAGUCGAGCGGACAGAAGGGAGCUUGCUCCCGGAUGUUAGCGGCGGACGGGUGAGUAACACGUGGGUAACCUGCCUGUAAGACUGGGAUAACUCCGGGAAACCGGAGCUAAUACCGGAUAGUUCCUUGAACCGCAUGGUUCAAGGAUGAAAGACGGUUUCGGCUGUCACUUACAGAUGGACCCGCGGCGCAUUAGCUAGUUGGUGGGGUAAUGGCUCACCAAGGCGACGAUGCGUAGCCGACCUGAGAGGGUGAUCGGCCACACUGGGACUGAGACACGGCCCAGACUCCUACGGGAGGCAGCAGUAGGGAAUCUUCCGCAAUGGACGAAAGUCUGACGGAGCAACGCCGCGUGAGUGAUGAAGGUUUUCGGAUCGUAAAGCUCUGUUGUUAGGGAAGAACAAGUGCGAGAGUAACUACUCGCACCUGACGGUAC